rnacentral:misc_RNA from 1 species
CGCACAUUGCGCCCAUUGGUACUCCGAUGGGCAUGCACGUUCGAGCGUCAUUAAACACCCUCAAGUUUAACUUGGUGUUGAGCUCUGCUGGUCCGCCAGCUAGCUCUAAAAUCAGUGGCGGUUGCCUCUGGCUCUCAGCGUAGUAAUUAUCCUCGCUCUUGUGCCUGCAGGUUGCCUGCCAACAACCCCUAAUUUCUAUGUUUGACCUCGGAUCGUGUAGGAAUACCCGCUGAACUUAA